CGGAAAUACUUGCAACAAUAACUUUAACAAUCAAACGACUUCAACUCCUGCAUACAAAGUGUAUAUAAGAUAUUCAUGUUCAGCUGUAUAUUAGAAGAAAAACCACAUUAAUCGUUUUCACAUGACAUUUUGUGUAUUUCACAUUCCCCAUAUUUUGAUCAAAUUUAUACCACUCCAUCUUUUCCGUAUGCCUCACAGUUUAAAACAUGCCUGGAUGACUUACAUGUCGUUUGAUCAGGGCGUAAGACAAGAUUACAAACUCGAUUAUAUAUCUGUGCCAGCGAAGGUAGUAGUAACGAAUGGAUAUGGGUUCAAUUACCCGUAAAAAAUACAGGUAAAACUUUGACGUUUCGAGCGGAAGGCCCUCGUUGGAAAGUUAGC